rnacentral:rRNA from 1 species
GAUGAACGCUGGCGGCGUGCCUAAUACAUGCAAGUCGAGCGAACGGACGAGAAGCUUGCUUUUCUGAUGUUAGCGGCGGACGGGUGAGUAACACGUGGAUAACCUACCUAUAAGACUGGGAUAACUUCGGGAAACCGGAGCUAAUACCGGAUAAUAUUUUGAACCGCAUGGUUCAAAAGUGAAAGACGGUCUUGCUGUCACUUAUAGAUGGAUCCGCGCUGCAUUAGCUAGUUGGUAAGGUAACGGCUUACCAAGGCAACGAUGCGUAGCCGACCUGAGAGGGUGAUCGGCCACACUGGAACUGAGACACGGUCCAGACUCCUACGGGAGGCAGCAGUAGGGAAUCUUCCGCAAUGGGCGAAAGCCUGACGGAGCAACGCCGCGUGAGUGAUGAAGGUCUUCGGAUCGUAAAACUCUGUUAUUAGGGAAGAACAUAUGUGUAAGUAACUGUGCACAUCUUGACGGUACCUAAUCAGAAAGCCACGGCUAACUACGUGCCAGCAGCCGCGGUAAUACGUAGGUGGCAAGCGUUAUCCGGAAUUAUUGGGCGUAAAGCGCGCGUAGGCGGUUUUUUAAGUCUGAUGUGAAAGCCCACGGCUCAACCGUGGAGGGUCAUUGGAAACUGGAAAACUUGAGUGCAGAAGAGGAAAGUGGAAUUCCAUGUGUAGCGGUGAAAUGCGCAGAGAUGUGGAGGAACACCAGUGGCGAAGGCGACUUUCUGGUCUGUAACUGACGCUGAUGUGCGAAAGCGUGGGGAUCAAACAGGAUUAGAUACCCUGGUAGUCCACGCCGUAAACGAUGAGUGCUAAGUGUUAGGGGGUUUCCGCCCCUUAGUGCUGCAGCUAACGCAUUAAGCACUCCGCCUGGGGAGUACGACCGCAAGGUUGAAACUCAAAGGAAUUGACGGGGGCCCGCACAAGCGGUGGAGCAUGUGGUUUAAUUCGAAGCAACGCGAAGAACCUUACCAAAUCUUGACAUCCUUUGACAACUCUAGAGAUAGAGCCUUCCCCUUCGGGGGACAAAGUGACAGGUGGUGCAUGGUUGUCGUCAGCUCGUGUCGUGAGAUGUUGGGUUAAGUCCCGCAACGAGCGCAACCCUUAAGCUUAGUUGCCAUCAUUAAGUUGGGCACUCUAAGUUGACUGCCGGUGACAAACCGGAGGAAGGUGGGGAUGACGUCAAAUCAUCAUGCCCCUUAUGAUUUGGGCUACACACGUGCUACAAUGGACAAUACAAAGGGCAGCGAAACCGCGAGGUCAAGCAAAUCCCAUAAAGUUGUUCUCAGUUCGGAUUGUAGUCUGCAACUCGACUACAUGAAGCUGGAAUCGCUAGUAAUCGUAGAUCAGCAUGCUACGGUGAAUACGUUCCCGGGUCU